GACGAACGCUGGCGGCGUGCUUAACACAUGCAAGUCGAACGGAAAGGCCCUGCUUUUGUGGGGUGCUCGAGUGGCGAACGGGUGAGUAACACGUGAGUAACCUGCCCUUGACUUUGGGAUACCUUCAGGAAACAGGGGCUAAUACCGGAUAGGAGCUCCUGCUGCAUGGUGGGGGAUGGAAAGUUUCGGCGGUUGGGGAUGGACUCGCGGCUUAUCAGCUUGUUGGUGGGGUAGUGGCUUACCAAGGCGUUGACGGGUAGCCGGCCUGCGAGGGUGACCGGCCACAUUGGGACUGAGGUACGGCCCAGACUCCUACGUGAGGCAGCAGUGGGGAAUAUUGCACGAUGGGCGGAAGCCGGAUGCAGCAACGCCGCGUGCGGGAUGACGGCCUGCGGGUUGUAAACCGCGUGCGCCUGUGACGAAGCGUGAGUGACGGUAAUGAGUAAGGAAGCACCGGCUAACUACGUG
rnacentral:rRNA from 1 species